GGGCGGGUGCACUCAGUGGUAGAGUGCGUGCUUAGCAUGCAUGAGGUCCUGGGUUCAAUCCCCAGCACCUCCU
rnacentral:tRNA from 1 species